rnacentral:rRNA from 1 species
GACGAACGCUGGCGGCGUGCUUAACACAUGCAAGUCGAACGGAAAGGCCCUGCUUUUGUGGGGUGCUCGAGUGGCGAACGGGUGAGUAACACGUGAGUAACCUGCCCCUGUCUUUGGGAUAACUUCAGGAAACUGGGGCUCAUAUCGGAUAGGAGCUCCUGCUGCAUGGUGGGGGUUGGAAAGUUUCGGCGGUUGGGGAUGGAAUCGCGGCUUAUCAGCUGGUUGGUGUGGUAGUGGCUUACAAAGGCUUCGACGGGUAGCCGGCCUGAGAGGGUGACCGGCCACAUGGGGACUGAGAUACGGACCAGACGCCUACGGGAGGCAGCAGUGGGGAAUAUGGCAGAAUGGGCGGACGUCUGAUGCAGCAACGUCGCGUGCGGGAUGACGGCCUUCGGGUGGUAAACCGCUUUCGCCUGUGACGAAGAGUGAGUGACGGUAAUGGGUAAAGAAGCACCGGCUAACUACGUG